rnacentral:lncRNA from 1 species
CACUGAGGGGGGUAUUUCUCCUGAAGUCCUUCAAGGCAGGUCCAGACCUUGGCAAUGUGACAUGCAUCUCAGCUUGAAGGCCAGAUCACUGCCAUGGACCCCCAUACCCACAUGGCUGGAGCUGCUGCAGUGGGAGGAGAAGCUGGUGAACCCUGCGCUUGGCGAACAGUGUUAGCAGCAAGAACUGGCAAAGGGGAAAGCAAAGAUACAAAGUGCAGAGAGACGGGGUAACAUUUACAUGAGAAACAAUCCGCUCUCCGGCACCCACCCAC